AACAUAGUAGGGGUAUAACAAACAUGUUUAAGAAAAUGUGGGAUUUAAACAAGUCAAGAAGAGAGAAGAGGUAGUAUAACACUUAAGAAAAUAGUACACGAAACAUGUUGAAAAAGAACUCAAACAAGGUACAGUAAAAAGGCAAGCAAGGAACUUAAGAACUCAGUAGGAGAUACGUAUAGUAAAAGAGCAAAAAAUACCAAAAAAGUAUAUCAACAAGACAUAGAGGAAAAUUAUAGUAGGACGAACAUGUAAGCAUGGUGUAGAAACACAAUAGAAAGAUAAUGCACAGCAGAACAUAUGUAGUAGAAAAACAUAAGAAAGCAGUAGAAAUACAUGUGUGACAAAUACACAAAAAGAAAAAGGAAAAUAACAGUCGGAGAAAACAUUUUGAGUUUUUCAGAAAUCCUAAGUCAGAGAGAAGUAAUUUUUGAAAUAAAAAUUGGGGAAACCGUUUUACAACUCAAGUGGAGCAUAGAUAUAGGACCAAUAUAAGAAGAAGAAAACAGAGAAAACCUCGGAUAGCUAGGGUUUCAGAGGAACCCUAAAGCGAGAAAGGCUUGGAAAAGGACUAAUCUAAGUCAAAUAAGUCAGAACCAGGCUCGAAAUCCUUUGGAUACGCUGGAGCAAAGCGGGAGAGGCCAUGGAACCUUGAAUCAGAGAAAAUCUGAAAGGACACCAUCAAGGCAGACCUCAAAACUUCGAACACCAAGAAUUAAAGAGCAGAGAUAGAUGGGUAUAGUCCAUCCGUGGCCUGAGAGGCCAUGGAUUCUUGUGAGUUUGCAGUUGAAAAUGGAAGAAGGUGAUUAGGGUUUCAAGAACCUUCGAGAGAGUUUGAGAGAUGAGAGUAUCUAGGGGCGGC
rnacentral:lncRNA from 1 species